rnacentral:rRNA from 1 species
ACAAUGUACAACUCUUAUCGAUAAGCCAUUGGAGGGCAAGUCUGGUGCCAGCAGCCGCGGUAAUUCCAGCUCCAAUAGCGUAUAUUAACGUUGUUGCAGUUAAAAAGCUCGUAGUUGAAGUGUGGGUGAUCGCUGUUGUGAGACUUCGGUCUCUCGAUAGUAAGUCACCCCCUUCCAGUAUCCAGUAGUGGGUAUUCAGUUACUUACUAUUGUGUGUUGGUCCUUUACUGUGAGAAAAUUAGAGUGUUCAAAGCAGGCGUUUGCUUGAAUAGAUUAGCAUGGAAUAAUAAUUGAAGGCUUUCGUGUUCGAUUUGAUUGGUUUGUUCAUGGAAGCAAGGUUAAAAGGAACAGUUGGGGGUAUUCAUAUUCACUAGUUAGAGGUGAAAUUCUCGGAUUUAUGGAAGAUGAACAAGUGCGAAAGCAA